rnacentral:rRNA from 1 species
AGAGCGAACGCUGGCGGCAGGCCUAAUACAUGCAAGUCGAACGGAUCCUUCGGGAUUAGUGGCGGACGGGUGAGUAACACGUGGGAACGUGCCCUUUGGUUCGGAACAACUCAGGGAAACUUGAGCUAAUACCGGAUGUGCCCUUCGGGGGAAAGAUUUAUCGCCAUUGGAGCGGCCCGCGUCUGAUUAGCUAGUUGGUAGGGUAAAGGCCUACCAAGGCUUCGAUCAGUAGCUGGUCUGAGAGGAUGAUCAGCCACACUGGGACUGAGACACGGCCCAGACUCCUACGGGAGGCAGCAGUAGGGAAUCUUGCGCAAUGGGCGAAAAGCCUGACGCAGCCAUGCCGCGUGAAUGAUGAAGGUCUUAGGAUUGUAAAAAUUCUUUCAGCGGGGACGAUAAUGACGGUACCCGCAGAAGAAGCCCCGGCUAACUUCGUGCCAGCAGCCGC